GAAGCACAGGAUGGACAUGCAGAGGCCAUAAGACAUGCUGAGAAGGUGAAAGAUCAUAUGCAAAAGUAGAAUUUUGCCCUCAGAGAAAAUAGCGCUACCUUCAUCAGAGAAACCAGAAUCUGAAACCAGAACACUCAAUUGACAUGGCCCCCACCAGAGGGCACCUGAGCCAGUUUCCAGGGUGCUCUCUAUACAGCAAUUGGAUACCCCCAAACAUCUUCCUUGGAAUCACUUAUGAGCACAAGGAUUUUCCAGGAAAACCUUAGUGAAGACUCUGCAACUCAGAAGAACUAAAUCGAUGUCUAAAUUCAAUCCACCCUCAGGUCACCAGGCAAUAGUGCUUAUUAUAUUCUGGAACUUAAUGCACUGACUCGAAAACUCAUUUGAAGGAACAGCCAAGGAUUUUCAGGUGCUUAGCCAAUUUAGGCUUUUCUAGUGUUCAGAAUACUUUGAAGAUCAACGAACAAAACAUCGUGUUACUGGUACACCAGACAAAGCAGAACUGAGUUUGGAGUUAGAGCCAAAGGAACGCACGGGUUUCUGCAGAAUUACGAUGGGACUUCAAAGCAGGGGCAAGGUUAGGAUUAUUUUAGAAAUGGUGUCAGAUAACUCUCUCUGAGUUAAAAUGAGUGUCCACUGGAAACUAAUGCAAUGCUGUUACGCUAACUGGAAUUAAACUAAAAAAGUUAAACAAUGAAA